GAGCAGAGAUUCUCCAGCCUGGGGCUCUGGGGGCAGGAGGGGGCUGGCACCAGUCUGCAGAGCCAGGCUGUGCUGGGAGUCAGGGGAGGGACUGGGAGGCUGUGCUGGGUGUCAGGGGAGGGACUGGGAGGCUGUGCUGGGUGUCAGGGGAAGGACUGUGAGCCCACUGCAAUCCUGCCUUGGGGCAGCCCCUUCCCUGUCCCCAGUUACAUGCACUGGGGAUUGAGGCUUCUGGCCAUGAUUCCUGUUUCUGCAAAGGAGCCUUGAGAGAAAACCAGUUGUCU
rnacentral:lncRNA from 12 species